rnacentral:miRNA from 1 species
UGUGUGUGUGUGUGUGUGUGUGUGCGUGUCUGCGAGGGUGCACACGCACACACACACACACACAUACACAGC